rnacentral:lncRNA from 1 species
GUCUACUCCGUGCGCGACUUGACGUCUGCCCUCUCAGAGCAAGAAGUUUUGUCUUAUGUACUCUCCGUCAUAGGUAAUUUAUGAAUAAAACCUGGUCCUCUCGUGCUCAGAACUGUACAUCUGCCUACCCCUCAUAUGCUGUUGUGAAAUGAAUGGUGCUAUAGAGGAAAAGACCAGGAAACCCAGCCUUUCCUGUGGGACCCUCCCAGCAUUGAUGACUUCUGACACCCGAUUUUUUUCCCCAGCAAUAGGCCCACGGUCAAUUUUGCUCUGGACGCUAGCUAGGCAAUUCUUUAUUUCUAUUCGCUGUUGACACUGCUUAUGUGCAGGUAGCCCUGGAUCCAGCAGAUGGAUGGCACAGUCUCAAGACCCCGCUUCAGACGGCUCUCGAAUGUCCUAAGUUGCUUGCCGUGUGCUUCUGACUCACCAGGUAUACGGAGGUUUCCACAACUGCGUACUCGGGUCCAAUUCGCUGUUUUGAGAAAACCUGUUGGUCAGCUUAUUCCAAAGGAUAAUUUAAAGGCAGAGAGGGGAUAUGUGCUCCAAGAAGUGCAUGUGUUUGGCUACCUAGAAGCUCUACGAAACUGUCCUUCAUAGAUUUUUACAGGUCUUCCUUUGCAUAGGCUUGAUUCGGUAGACAGGAAGAAUGUGUUGGGACCCCACAAGCCUCAUCUCCAGCGAGGAGAUGAUGUACAAAGUGAAUAAUGAACCUUGAGUCAGCACCAUCUUUGCAGAUACUGGGUCAAAAAUGUCC